UCACUCUGGGAGCAGCGUUCGAGAAUAUCCCGUUAUGUUCGGCCGCCGAACGGUAGAGAAAAUGGUCGAUUCUCGGGGGAAGGAGAAAUCACGCGGUGAUAUCGAGAAACGCGGGUCGUAGAUGCGUGAAAUUUAUCGUCGAAUUGUCUUCGGGCCGGUAUGGAGAUUGAAACGAGUUGCGAAAGUUUGGCAUUGAGCAGAGAGGAAAAUAACGCAUCGAGGAGAGAGAUAAAAUAGGUCACGUUUGAGAAAGAUUUACUUCGUUUAAUGGCACAUGUUACGAUAAAAUGUUGCUCGUCGAGUUUAUUCGCUUCGGUGCUUUACACUUCGGCUCGACAAUACUCUGCACCGCUGUCUCGCUACUCGCGACCGACAGCCGCGUGUCAUUUACUUUUUUCACCAGACGAGAUCGUUAGAGCACAC